rnacentral:lncRNA from 1 species
GCCCCGGUUCCCGCCCGCGCCUCUCCCUCCACACUUCGCCGCAAGCAGAGGGAGCCGGCUCCGGCCUCAGCUGGCCCAGAGAGGGGCUCCCUCAGUGCAGUGGCGAGCUGAAGGGCUCCUCAAGGGCGGCUGGAGUGGACGCUGAGGCCGAGGAGACGCCAAGAGCAAACGAGGGCUGCUAGUACAUUGUCACCUCUCACUGGUAACUACAGUUGCUGUCAGUUUAACUGUCAUGGUAGGGAGAACCCCCACAAGGAGACUUUGAUAUUCUGGAAGCAAGAUCUUGGAAGGCCAAGGACAGGUCAUUUCUUAGGACUGUGCAAAAGAGAAUCAGUCUUUACAGUAAGCUAUUUGAUUCUAGUAGUUCUUUCAUCUCAGUCUUUUGAAAGCAACUUCCCCUCUUUAACCAACACCUGCCAUGGCCUCUUCAUGAGCCGAAGAAGGAAAGACAGGACAGAUUCUUAUGACCUGAAACAGCACCUCAACUCUUACCUUGGAUAUUUCUACAUGAAGAAUCUGCUCUGAAACUAUAGCAAACAAUCACAGAGUGUUUGAGUGUGAGUCCAGACUGGUUCGGGAAGACCAAGAAGCAAUGAUGAUGUCUGUUUUUGUCAAAUGUCUGAAAACUAUUUUUAUUUUUCUAAAACUUUGUUCAGAAGUCUCAAUAUUGUAGUGUAUAGAGAUGUACACUAAUUUAGUGAUAUGAAGAUGAAGGGCUUUAAGCCUGUGU